CCCGGCAAUGAACUUGUCCUGAGGAAGAGAGAUAAUCCAAUAAAGAUCAAAACUUUUUCACAAAGAAAUUUCAGAUGGAGGAUCGGAUCCGGAGAUACUUAGAUGUGGGAUGUGGAAUCAAGAUUCUCGUUGGUAAGAUUCUUGAAAGUUUAGAUGAAUCUUUUGAUUUUUUCUAUUAUUUAUUAUUCACAGUUGGGCCAAAUUGUGUUGAGGACAACCAACUCCUGAUGAAUGAAUUAUAUAUCUCAAGAAAUCUUUUAACUACACCUCAAAUUUAAAAACACUAAAAGAAUCUCUAUAGUUAAAUUAGUGACCAUUGUGGGAAAAGGAUGAAUACAGAAUACCAUAUCAUUUUUUUCUUCUUUUCUCAAAAGAAAAUUCUUUAUUUUACACAAAUUUCACCAUUUAACAGUGAUUAUCUAUCAAAAUGUGAGAUCUCACAAGUUGCUCUUCAUUCUUUUUUAGUUUCUUUUCCCUUUGUUUUAUGAGUAAUUGUAGGGAAAAAAUCAUUGUCAUCAAAACUAAAGAGUAUUAUAAAGUAUUGUAACAUUAAUUGUCAUUAUUUUAGGGUUUUAAGUAUUUUAUUAUAUUUAAAGAUAUAUAUAUAUAUAAUUGCGUCCGGUAUAUUGAGUAAUUGACAAGUAUACUCAUCAAAAAGUUAAAAUUUUGGUUCCUCAGUCCUUUCCUGGGCAAAUUCCAUUUACCUUAGAAUUUUUCUCCAAUAAAAACAAUCUAAGAACUAUACUUCAAAGAGUCCAAAUGUAAAUUACGGGAUUUUUACUUAAUCACAAUUCACAAGGUCCAAUAGUGAAAAGGACUGCAAAUAAAAUUGUCUAAACUAUACUUCUUUAUUCUUAAUCGCAAUGUAAAAAGGUUGUCUAAAUAACAGUGAUGUAAAGUUUUAUUUGCAGGAGAAAAAUAAACUUUUCUUCUCUGAACGACUGAACCAAAAAAAAAGAAUGAUGUAAAUUAUACAGUUAUUUCAUUUAAACCAAUAGUUUACGCCCAAAUACUACUGAUAUAUCAAUUAUUUCAUUUAAAAUAAAAUGUAGUUAGUUUAACCAGUAAGUAGAAAACACUAUCACUCGUUGUCUCGUCCAAUAUAAUAUCCAAACCAAAACGAUGUUCCCUUUCGAAAAAUAUAUAAAAUAUAUAUUCUAUAAAUCUGAUAUAGAUAUUAUAUUUGACUAUGGUUUUCAAACCUUUUUGAGUUCAAAAACAUAAAAGAAAACUAGCAACACAGUCUUGUUCCACAAUAUAAAAAAUAAUAAUCAACCCUUACCAAAGGACAAAACUUGAUAUAGUUUUAGAGCAAACUACUUUCCACCAAAAGUGGGGAAAAACCAACGAGCAUCCUUGAAUGGUAUUGGCGAUGAAGUAGUAAGAUGUUCAAACACUUGGACCUUUUUCUUGGUUUUAAUAGGGUGGACGCAAAUACCGUACUUAUCAUCAUUGCAUAGACUAACCCCUUUAUAUCUAUGUAAAUCAUCAUGACUAAAAUAUAUGCAAUUUCUCAUAACUCCAUCUUUGGCUGCAACCGUUAUUCCUAGGUCCAAAAUCAAUGCUUCGUCCCCUAUAGACUUGAUUAAUCUCCAUUUUGAUGAUUUAGGAUCUAUCUUGUAGAGGGUGAAGAAGCAUUUCUUUGGAUUGCUUGAAAUGAUCAAAACUUCUCCAGACAAUGUCACAGCAAGAUUCCUGACAUAACAAUCUUUCGGAGAUGGGAGAG
rnacentral:lncRNA from 1 species